rnacentral:rRNA from 1 species
AGUGAACGCUGGCGGUAGGCCUAACACAUGCCAGUCGAACGGCAGCACAGUAAGAGCUUGCUCUUACGGGUGGCGAGUGGCGGACGGGUGAGGAAUACAUCGGAAUCUACUUUUUCGUGGGGGAUAACGUAGGGAAACUUACGCUCAUACCGCAUACGACCUACGGGUGAAAGCAGGGGAUCUUCGGACCUUGCGCGAUUGAAUGAGCCGAUGUCGGAUUAGCUAGUUGGCGGGGUAAAGGCCCACCAAGGCGACGAUCCGUAGCUGGUCUGAGAGGAUGGUCAGCCACACUGGAACUGAGACACGGUCCAGACUCCUACGGGAGGCAGCAGUGGGGAAUAUUGGACAAUGGGCGCAAGCCUGAUCCAGCCAUACCGCGUGGGUGAAGAAGGCCUUCGGGUUGUAAAGCCCUUUUGUUGGGAAAGAAAGGCAGCAGGUUAAUACCCCGCUGUUCUGACGGUACCCAAAGAAUAAGCACCGGCUAACUUCGUG